UGGGGAAUAUUGCACAAUGGGCGAAAGCCUGAUGCAGCGACGCCGCGUGAGUGAAGAAGUAUUUCGGUAUGUAAAGCUCUAUCAGCAGG
rnacentral:rRNA from 1 species